rnacentral:rRNA from 1 species
CUGGGGGCGUGCGGUGGGUACGGGCUGGCUUGAGUGCGGUAGGGGAGGCUGGAACUCCCUGGUGUAGCGGUGGAAUGCGCAGAUAUCAGGAGGAACACCGGUGGCGAAGG